GACGAACGCUGGCGGCGUGCUUAACACAUGCAAGUCGAACGGAAAGGCCCUGCUUGCAGGGUGCUCGAGUGGCGAACGGGUGAGUAACACGUGGGUGAUCUGCCCCUUACUUUGGGAUAAGCCUGGGAAACUGGGUCUAAUACUGGAUAGGACCAUGCUGUAGGUGGUGUGGUGGAAAGAUUUUUUCGGUAAGGGAUGAGCUCGCGGCCUAUCAGCUUGUUGGUGGGGUAAUGGCCUACCAAGGCGUCGACGGGUAGCCGGCCUGAGAGGGUGGACGGCCACAUUGGGACUGAGAUACGGCCCAGACUCCUACGGGAGGCAGCAGUGGGGAAGAUUGCACAAUGGGCGCAAGCCUGAUGCAGCGACGCCGCGUGGGGGAUGACGGCCUUCGGGUUGUAAACUCCUUUCAGCCAUGACGAAGCCUCUUUUGGGGUGACGGUAGUGGUAGAAGAAGCACCGGCUAACUACGUG
rnacentral:rRNA from 1 species